AGGCGGGUAGCUCAGUGGUAGAGCAUCGGCCCGAUAAGCCGGUAGCCAUAGGUUCAAAUCCUAUUCCGCCUA
rnacentral:tRNA from 1 species